rnacentral:rRNA from 1 species
ACGGAAGGCAGCAGCUAAGAAUAUUCCGCAAUGGACGAAAGUCUGACGGAGCGACGCCGCGUGGAUGAUGAAGGUCGGAAGAUUGUAAAAUCCUUUUAUAACUGAGGAAUAAGUAGUGGAGUGGAAAGCCAUUAUGGUGACUGUAGGUUAUGAAUAAGCAACGGCUAAUUACGUGCCAGCAGCCGCGGUAACACGUAAGUUGCGAGCGUUGUUCGAAAUUAUUGGGCGUAAAGGACAUGUAGGCGGUUUUGCAAGCUUGGUGUGAAGGGCAGGAGCUUAACUCCUGGACUGCGUUGAGAACUGCAUGACUAGAGUCACUGAGGGGCAAUCAGAAUUCCAGGUGUAGGGGUGAAAUCUGUAGAUAUCUGGAAGAAUACCAAUGGCGAAGGCAGGUUACCAGCAGAUGACUGACGCUGAGGUGCGAAGGUGCGGGGAGCAAACAGGAUUAGAUACCCUGGUA